UCCUUCUAGAAAGCAGUAACAACCUCUUUGUAAUUGACAAGUUGUAGAGCAAUGGAAAUCAAAGGUAGCUUUCAGCCAAGACCAAGAACAUUUUUCAACACCAGACUUUUGUUGCUGCUUGCUCUCCUCAAACAUCUGCCAAGACUCUGUGUUUUUGUGGGGAGGGGGAGAAACUGGCACAUUAAGGAGAAGAGCAAUUCAGAGCACAUGUUGUCUAGCCAGUUUAGAUAAUAUAUUGUUAGUGGGCAUAGAUGAACAGUCAGGAACAAAAGCCAAUAAUUUAAACAUUUUAUGGAUUAUAUAUAUUUUUUAAAAUGAUAAUUCGACUCCAAGUGCAUCAGGGAUUAUUUUAAGCCAAAGGAUUUGUCCAGACAUCACAUUCAGCAAGAAACAAGCACAUUAUAUGUGUAAGUCAGGGCACACUGAAUGUAAAACUAGGACAUUUGCUAUAAUUCCUAUGUAUGCUAUACAACUAGCUCCAUACCUCUGAUCUUAUACAUCUUAAUCUUCCUUUGUAGUGUAUUGUUGCUUGGAAUUGCAACAGAUGCACCGGGGUAAAAGAGAAGAAAGACCACCACAGUAUGACUGGUCAGAAACAUUCCAUGUGCAAAACUGCGCAGGAUUUCAUCACAGUCAUUUUGAGGAUAAUGGAAAGACAGAAUGAAACUUUGCAGAUAGAGUGAAACCACCCAGUGGUUGCUCAGGAUGAACCAGAGGAAGGGGGAGAUGUGAGUGUGAGAUGAAUGUAAUCUUUGUGAGCAUUCUGCCACCGUGGAUGUUUGUCACUGUCAUUGUCAUCAUCAAGCAUGAGUGAUUUGGAAAGCAAUUGCAUCAUACUAGUGGAAUCCAAAAGCAGAAGAGCUGCCUAUAGUUUUUUUUUAAACAGAGGAAGAACCAAAAGAAGAAGAAAAACUCCCUGAAUUGCAGAUGGCAGGAACUGAACCUGAGAUAUUUUCCCUGAAAAUCCUGGCUACAGCUUCUUCCGAGACACGCACCAACAAUUUGGAAUACCAGAGAUUCUUUCAUUGUUCCAGUUAUCUUGUGGGUUGCAACAUGAUAUUCUCCAGAGCCAUUUGUGCUCAUUUUAUUGUGCCAGAUGAAGAGCUGGGAGGAGAAAAUGAGCGGCCAGACUCACCUGCUCUUCCAGAGUGGCCUGAACACAGCUCCCACCAGCAGUAGAAAUUUGCGGGGGAACAGCCCCAUGUACUUUGCUCCCAUGCAGCAAACAGCCUAAGGAGAGUAAAGCACGGAGUUCACCUGACCUGGCUUGGGAUCCAACUCAGUCCAGUCCAACAGAAUGAAAAACAGGUUGAAAAAGACCAGGUAGGUGCACAAGCCAACCAACCUACUCCUCAACUCAAAAAACAUACAAAACCCUCUGCAACUUACAGAA